GUGGGGAAUAUUGGGCAAUGGAGGAAACUCUGACCCAGCGACGCCGCGUGCGGGAUGAAGGCCUUCGGGUUGUAAACCGCUUUCAGCAGGGAAUAAGCGCAAGUGAAGGUACCUGCAGAAGAAGCACCGGCUAACUAUGUGCCAGCAGCCGCGGUAAUACAUAGGGUGCAAGCGUUGUCCGGAAUUAUUGGGCGUAAAGAGCUCGUAGGUGGUUUGUUACGUCGGUUGUGAAAUUCAGGGGCUCAACCCCUGACUUGCAGCCGAUACGGGCAAGCUAGAGUUUGGUAGGGGAGACUGGAAUUCCUGGUGUAGCGGUGGAAUGCGCAGAUAUCAGGAGGAACACCGAUGGCGAAGGCAGGUCUCUGGGCCAAUACUGACACUGAGGAGCGAAAGCGUGGGGAGCGAA
rnacentral:rRNA from 3 species